GACGAACGCUGACGGCGUGCUUAACACAUGCAAGUCGAACGGUGAAGCGCCUUCCUUUUUGGUGGGUGUGGAUGAGUGGCGAACGGGUGAGUAACACGUGAGUAACCUGCCCCCUUCUUCUGGAUAACCGCAUGAAAGUGUGGCUAAUACGGGAUAUUCUGGGUCUGUCGCAUGAUGGGUCUGGGAAAGAUAUUGUUUCGGUGGGGGAUGGGCUCGCGGCCUAUCAGCUUGUUGGUGGGGUGAUGGCCUACCAAGGCGGUGACGGGUAGCCGGCCUGAGAGGGUGGACGGUCACACUGGGACUGAGACGCGGCCCAGACUCCUACGGGAAGCAGCGGUGGGGAAUAUUGCACGAUGGGAGCAAGCCUGAUGCAGCGACGCCGCGUGAGGGAUGGCGGCCUUCGGGUUGUGAACCUCUUUCGCCAGUGAAGCAGGCCUGCCUCGUUUGUGGGUGGGUUGACGGUAGCUGGAUAAGAAGCGCCGGCUAACUACGUG
rnacentral:rRNA from 1 species